rnacentral:lncRNA from 10 species
GAGGGAAGGAGACAGAUAACAAGUGAGAAGACCACAGGAUGCAGUUAGUUAUGUACAGGCUUAACCAAUUCUCUGGUGCAGCAGCAUCAUAAUUCUGAUAAUAUCAGAAUAGUGAGACAGCUAGGUGGGAGUGGGUCUCUGGAGAAACUCCAACCAGUCUGACCACUGAGGUGGAGCCUCAGCAAGUUCACAAGUGUGCAGCGGGGAGGAGCCUGGCCCUCCCUCUUCCUGUGUGAACCUGAGAGUCAAGCUCAGGGCAGGAAGCACUCCAGCAGAUACCUCGCUGGACCCCAAAUGAAACGUUCAAAGAAAGGCAAGCAAGCACUGCAGAAGAGAUGGACUCAAAUGGACUAAAAAGGCAGAGCUUGUUUUUGGCUGUAGCGCCCUUUUGCCAUGACAAAGCUGGGAAAGGAGACACGCAGUCUGUCGCAUUUAUUUCUGAUCAAUCUACAUAAGAAUUGUCAGGCUGGCACGUUGGAUUACUGCUGACUUGCUGUGACCACUGAAGUUUGCAAGUUCACCUUGGAUUCAUGGGGGCCUUUCCCCAAAGUAGCAUCCCUUGUAGGAAACAUUGCGGGAAAUCCAGAACUCAGAAAGUGCCUAUGCAAAUGACAUCCCGUUGCACCUAAUUUCUUACUAGUGACAGAGCCACUGGCCCUGGGCACCUGGCGGCCUGCCUGCCUUUCCAGCCUGUGCUAACCAGACUCUCACAGCAGGCUGAGCUGUGCUUACCCACACAUGCGAACGCAUCUUGAACAACUUGAAGCACGGAGAUGGGGCGGCAUGUUCCAAAUCAGCAGGAAAGGAAAUUUCAGAUGGUGGCAAUCAUCGCAGGGAAACGCACCUCACUGAAAUCAAUAGAAUAAUUUUUGAUAAUGUAGCCACUUGAUCUGGUAAUUGGGCCUUUCACCUGUAGUGAACGGCUUCACUGGAGACUUUCUUGAGCUAUUAGAUGCCUCUUACUUGGAGGCUAUCCUGUUUUUAUCUUUCAAAAUAUGUGGAGUAAUUAGCUUUUGAGUUGAGUGCUUUCGCCUCUUCCUCACUCCCCUCACUCCCUUGCAUUUCCACCCGCCCACCCCCAGCUUGCUCUUUUCCAGGCCUGCCCCCGCCCUGCCAGGAGCCACUUGGUAUUGAGCCACUGCUCAUCACAGAAUUGUACAGUCGUUUGAGGGGCAGCACAAUAAACCUCACUCCAUUAUCAUCUUGUAAAUUGAUUUUUUUUUUAAAUCUGGAGGGUGAGUAGGACUGCGCAUCUGCAUUCCCGACCCUUGUCUUCCUAGCCUUGGCUUGUAGCAGGGCUGAAGUACGAUUGACAAUGCUUCUAAUCAGUGCUGUCUGGGGGCCAGGGAGUGAUUUACCUGCAGUGGAGGAGGGUUGGCAAUGUUACCUUGCAUAUCGUCCGAUGACUAAUUCUUUAGAAGUGAGACAAUACAUGUAGUAUACUUCCGAGCAUCACAUUGGUUAACAGCUUUCUCAUAAAAUAGUGUUGGGAA